CGUGGCGGGCGGAGCAAAGGAAGUGUAGUAUUCUGACUUCUCUUUGUUCUCUCGUGACCCCAAAUACGUAAAUCGUUUGACAUGCCGAUGGCGGAAGAGUUAUUUUGAUAAAAAAACGUGUGUGCUACUUGGAUUACUCCAUUCAUUUUUUCAGAAUGUUUUGUAUUUUGUUAAAAAAACAGAAGACGACAUUAAUUUCAAAAAUGAAGAAUAAAAGAAUAGGAGUUUUUUGUGUCCAAAGAGGAGGGAGAAAACAGAAGAGAAAUAAAAGGUGAUGCGCUACCUGAGGUAUCAGUCAGAAGGUUUAAAUAAGGAAACGAACUCUCCGACUUGGAUGUAGAUAACCAUGCAUCUAUGUCUACAGCAUUUUAAGAAGAGAGGGCAUCUAAAUCACUUUUGGAGUGUGAUAACCUGGCAGAAAUUCGCAGUAGCACUGUUGAUGUUUUGGACGUAGAAGAUGAUGAUGAAAGAAGAUGCUAAAGAUGUUAUCUAUGUUGUUUCCGAUUCUUUAUCAAUUUUACAUGCAUAGCAGUAUGCUUCUGUGAAAAGUACUAUAUUUUUUAGUUUAAUUAUUGAAAAUUGUUUCCCACAUUUUUACUUCCAAAAUAAAUAUUU